rnacentral:rRNA from 1 species
CCUACGGGGGGCUGCAGUGGGGAAUAUUGGACAAUGGGGGGAAUCCUGAUCCAGCCAUGCCGCGUGUGUGAAGAAGGCCCUCGGGUUGUAAAGCACUUUCAGUGAGGAAGAACGCCUUGUGGUUAAUACCCAUCAGGAAAGACAUCACUCACAGAAGAAGCACCGGCUAACUCCGUGCCAGCAGCCGCGGUAAUACGGAGGGUGCGAGCGUUAAUCGGAAUUACUGGGCGUAAAGCGCGCGUAGGUGGCUUGAUAAGCCGGUUGUGAAAGCCCCGGGCUCAACCUGGGAACGGCAUCCGGAACUGUCAAGCUAGAGUGCAGGAGAGGAAGGUAGAAUUCCAGGUGUAGCGGUGAAAUGCGUAGAGAUCGGGAGGAAUACCAGUGGCGAAGGCGGCCUUCUGGACUGACACUGACACUGAGGUGCGAAAGCGUGGGUAGCAAACAGGAUUAGAUACCCUGGUAGUC